rnacentral:tRNA from 1 species
UGGCUUGUAGCUCAGUGGUAGAGCAGUCGGCUGUUAACCGACUUGUCGUGGGUUCGAUUCCCGCCUUGCCAG